GACGAACGCUGGCGGCGUGCUUAACACAUGCAAGUCGAACGGAAAGGCCCGCUUGCGGGUGCUCGAGUGGCGAACGGGUGAGUAACACGUGGGUAACCUGCCCCCUGCUUCGGGAUAACUCCGGGAAACCGGGGCUAAUACCGGAUAUUCAUUGCUGGCCGCAUGGUUGGUGGUGGAAAGUUUUUCGGCUGGGGAUGGGCCCGCGGCCUAUCAGCUUGUUGGUGGGGUGAUGGCCUACCAAGGCUUCGACGGGUAGCCGGCCUGAGAGGGCGACCGGCCACACUGGGACUGAGACACGGCCCAGACUCCUACGGGAGGCAGCAGUGGGGAAUAUUGCGCAAUGGGCGGAAGCCUGACGCAGCGACGCCGCGUGAGGGAUGACGGCCUUCGGGUUGUAAACCUCUUUCAGCAGGGACGAAUUUUGACGGUACCUGUAGAAGAAGCACCGGCCAACUACGUGCCAGCAGCCGCCGUAACAC
rnacentral:rRNA from 1 species